GACCUCGGAUCAGGUAGGGAUACCCGCUGAACUUAAGCAUAUCAAUAAGCGGAGGAAAAGAAACUAACAAGGAUUGCCCUAGUAACGGCGAGUGAAGCGGGAAGAGCUCAAAUUUGAAAUCUGGUAGCCUUCGGUUGCCCGAGUUGUAAUCUAGAGAAAUGUUUUCCGUGCCGGCCCAUGUACAAGUCCCUUGGAACAGGGCGUCAUAGAGGGUGAGAAUCCCGUCCUUGACAUGGACCCCCGGUGCUUUGUGAUACAUUUUCAACGAGUCGAGUUGUUUGGGAAUGCAGCUCUAAAUGGGUGGUAUAUUUCAUCUAAAGCUAAAUAUUGGCCAGAGACCGAUAGCGCACAAGUAGAGUGAUCGAAAGAUGAAAAGCACUUUGGAAAGAGAGUUAAACAGUACGUGAAAUUGUUGAAAGGGAAACGAUUGAAGUCAGUCAUGCUCUUUGGUAUUUA
rnacentral:rRNA from 1 species